AGCCCCUACUUUUUACUAGCCGGCAGGUCAUUUUUGGAGGAGAUUUUAAUACUGUUACAAGGUCUCUUGAUAGGGGAGGCUCCAGGGAUCGGCUAGAUUAUGAUAGCGUCGCCUUGAAUAGAAUAGCUAGUGAGUCUCGCCUGGUGGAUGUCCACAUCCGGCACACCCCAGGUCACAGCGGGUUCACUUACUUUAGAGGUAGAGAGAUCAGGUCUAGGAUAGAUAGGUUUUUUUUGAAGGAGGAUUCUGUCUCUUCACCUUUACAGGUUGUUGAGGUGGAGUUCUCCGACCACUGUUUGAUUAUGUUCUCUUUGAAUGUUUCAGAGACCCCCAGGAUGGGAAGGGGAUUGUGGAAGCUGAAUUCGUCCCUCCUGGUAGUCAAGGAGAUAAGACGGUCCUUUGAGGAGUUUCUGCAGAGCCAGGUACCAUUACUGGACUUAUGCAACACUAAGUCAGAGUGGUGGGAGAUGUUCAAAAAACGGGCUGCGAGAUUCUUCCGCCAGACCGCGAACCUUAGGAGUCUGAAUAGGGAUCGUCUCUAUCAGGAACUAAGGAGGAAACUCGAGGUUCUUGUCUCGACUGGAGGUGACCGAGAGGAAAUCUCCAGAGUGAAAUCUUUGCUAAAGAAGUGCCAGUAUGAUAGACACGCAUCUUUAGUUUUUGAAAGGGAUUUCGGGAAGUACCGCUCGCCCGACCCUUUCCGGAGCUGUAAGAUGUCAGUGGAUUGUAAGAUCGUGACCGGCCUGGUCGAUAGUACAGGAUCUCUGAACAAGUCCAGAUCGGGGAUCCUGGAGGUCGUCAGAGCCUUUUACUCGCACCUCUUGGGGAAGAGGGAUCUAGAUCGAGGCAAGAUGGCGGCUUUCCUGGCUGAUGCCAUUCCUCAGUCAGGAGUAGACCCCUCUCUUAGUGUUUUGACAGAGAAGAGGAAGUGAAGCUGGCGAUUGAGAGGCUUGCCCUCAAAAAGUCGCCAGGUCCGGAUGGCUUAACAUCCGAGUUUUAUAAGACCUUUAAGGACAUCUUGGUUCCCCUCUUUACUGAGGUAAUAAAUGAGUGUCUAUCCUCGGGCACUCUGCCGAAGUGUAUGUGGAGGUCGGCUCUGAUCAUCCUGUCAAAGGGUAAAGACUCGUCCCACAUUGAGAAUUGGCGUCCCAUAGCGCUUCUCAAUGUGGACAGAAAGAUUCUGGCAAAAGUGCUAUUCAACAGGUUGGUGAAAUUUGCCCCUCAGCUCCUUUCGGGGUCCCAGCACUGCUCUGUUCCCGGUCGUAGCACUUUUAGUGCGGUGCUGGGUGUCCGCGAGGCCAUGGAGCAGGGUCAGGCUGGUCACUGGAAGGGGUUUCUGCUGUCCCUGGACCAGGCAAAGGCUUUUGAUCGAGUUGAUCACGAGUAUCUCUGGUCCACUCUUUUGAAAUACGGUCUGCCAGGGGGGGUUUGUGGAUUGGCUGAGAACAUUGUACGCAGGGGCUGAGACUUUUCCAUUGGUAAACGGUUGGGUGGGCCGCCCUUUUGGGGUGGAGUCUGGUGUGCGUCAAGGCUGUCCGUUAAGCCCUUUGCUUUAUGUGUUCGCGAUCGACCCCUUCCUUCGAAGGCUAGAUCGCGAACCAUUGGCGGGGGUGAGGAUGGACCCGGCGGUGCCGGAUUCGGCCUUAAGGGUAGUGGCAUACGCUGAUGACGUCUCCAUUUUUGUCUCUUCGCAAGGGGAGGCGGAAUGGGUGAUGUCGGAGGUGGAUUGCUACUCGGAGGCAUUCGGGUCUAAGAUCAACCGGGAAAAGUGCAAAAGUCUUUGGUUGGGAGGUGGAGACCCUGAGUUCUGUCUCCCGGACACCCUCCCUGUGCCCCAGGAAUCUGCAAAAAUUCUGGGCAUCGAAUUUGGUCCCGGGGAUUACCCCACACGAAAUUGGGAAAGCAGACUGGAAGAUGUCUCCAAAAGAGUGGAACAGUGGAAAGGUUGGUCUUUGACCUUUAGGGAAAGGGUCUUCUUGAUCAGGUCCUACUUGCUCCCGUUGUUAAUCUAUUUGGGCAGUGUCAGCCUUUUGCCAGAACCCCUCUGGAGCCGGGUCUACAGUCUGUUCUUCCUAAUGUUGUGGGGGAAUAGACUGAACCUAAUUAAGAGGGAGGUGACUUACCGCACGAGGAGACUAGGCGGGUUGGGUAUGGUCAACCCGGUGGUAUUCCUAGUGAAUUCCUUUUUAAAGACCAAUAUAUCAAACCUCUGGACAGAGAGGGCUCCUCCGUGGGUAGUCUCUUGCAGGAGAUGGUUUCAGCCUUUCUUCCAGGAAUGGGAGAGAGGCGGUCAAGUGAAGGAUCUUCGCACGUCACACGGGCAUCUCCCGACUUAUGUUGCACUGGUUCUGAAGGUCAUCAGGAGGUGGGGGCUGGGGAUGUGGGAGGUAAGAACUCUGCCGAGGAAAAUCCUCGAUAACAGGGUCUUGCUGAGCCAUUUCCAGAAACCACUGGCCCUCAAGGAUUGCCCAGGUCGGGAUCAAGGGAUUGGGUUGGCUCUUUUAAAUUCACCUAGGAUCCCCUUGAAGUAUUGGGACUUGACCUGGCGGGGCUUCCAUGUAGGCGGUUUACAGAUGACAUCACAGCCAUGUGCACAUUUAUCAGCUGAUCCUUAAGUUACAACAGAACAGAGAACAACUUCCUGAUCUACUACAGAGAGCGGAGGAGAAGAAGCAAAACAGGAGCAGAAAAGAUAGUAAUGGCCGCC